UUAAGUGUUAGUCUCUCCCGGAUGAGCUCAUUAUGUGAUACUAGUUGGAGAAGAAAAACAAGAGAGAAUAGAAAGGCUAUGAGGAGAUAAAACCGAGUCAACCCAGUUCCUUCCUAUAGUGGGAAUUAAGUGGGAAGUACUGUUGGAGCGAAAGCUCGGUGGAGACCAUCUCAGGUCAAUUUCUCGGCGACGAGAGAACAGUUGGUGCUACAGUGCAAUGGAAAACCUAAUCUGCAGGAUAGGAUUUUUAUCUGGAGCCCAAGUACUAUAUGGAAUUCCUCAGAGAUGCUGCUAAGGCUAUUGAAAAAGGAAAGUUUCCAAGGGUGAUAGUCAAGCUCUUAAGGAAAUAAAAAAAGGUGAUGACCCAAGAGGUCUUACAACUGGUGAAAUGGCUUAUGCUCUCAACAUGGCUUGAUCUCCAACUGGAAGGCUUAUCAUCAAGAAGACAGCAAAUCCAAAAUUUUUUAUCAUCAAACUCUCUAAUGCUAGUGACUUUGCUGAAGCUAUUUACUCCAUUCUAAACAGAGUACAUGGGAAACUUCUUACUAUGCGCAUGUGGAGCAGUGAAACAAGAAUAGAGGAUAUUGACUUUGAUUCUCAUGAUUUCUGGAUCAAGUUUGAGCUUAGAGGUGACUUGGUGGAGAAGGGUUAUGUUUCUAAACAAGUUGCUGAUAAAGUGGGAAGAGUUUUCACUCUUAUUGGUCCUCUAAAUUCACAAGGAGAGUACUAAGCUCAUGUUCUUACUGAUCUUAAGAAGGUUCUUGUUCAUCAAGUUAAAAUAAUCAUUCUUGAUGGUAUGGAUAAAGAAACAAUCAAAACCAGAAUUUUCUUCAUGGUGAUCCCACGUGGUACAUGUAGGAAAUGUUGGUUGGUGGAUGGCGAUCACUCUGAGGAAAAAUAUAAACCAAGAAUCAUUGCAUACAAGAAGAACUUACCUAAGGUAUAUGUCUAUAAUGAAGAAGCUGAGGAUGAAGGAAGUGCAAAUGAGGAAAUCCAACAGCAAGAAGGACCAAAUGCUAACAGAAUGGAGUCACUGGCAACAGCAGCUGCAAGCUUUCAGAUUUACGACAAUGAAUUUGACAGAGUAGAAUACCCGACCAGAGGCAUCAAAAGGAGGAGGAUUGACAAUGAUUAUUCUUUUAAUGAGGAGGUAAAUGAGAAUUUAGGUAGUGCAAAUGUGGAUAACAUUGGAUAAGGAAGGAGAACAAGUGGAGGAAAUACUAUAGUCUUAGAAGGAGGAAAUACUAUAGUGAUCAAAAUACUGAAGAGAUAAGAAGAGCUCCAAAAGGGAAGGCUCCAAUGAUUGAAGAGGGUAGAAACUCUAAGAAAGAAAAGCAGAAGAAAAAGAAAGCAAAUUGGUUCAGACUCUUAAGUCAGUAUGCAGUUAUGGGUAGAAGGAAGAGUUUGGUAAUCAAUGAGCCAAGUGAAGAAUUGGAUAAGAAUUGGCAGAUGGUAAAUAAUGAGAAAAUCAACAUUCCAAUUCAAGUUGCUGAAGAAGUUCUUAAUGAAACAAGCAACAUCAGAGGAAUUGGUGAGGCACUGAUUCAUCUUUCAAACUAAAGUAAUCUAAAUAUGGCAGAAUUGAAGAAAUAGCCUGUAAUGAUGAGGAGAAUGCUAUUUGCUGGGGUAUAAUUGAGGCAGAAAAGAGCAUCAAAGCAAUUACUUAGAUGGUAACUACUGAAGAUCCAACUGGCAUCACUUUCCUAUGGAUUGCAACAUAGUUGAUGAGGUAACCCUAUUUCAUAAUUUUUACUAUAAAAUCACCCUCAAAAUCUGUUUGAAUAAAUAUGUCAGGUCAUUCUAU